rnacentral:miRNA from 1 species
CGGUCUGUGUUCUUCCCCCAG